UGCUAGUCUGCCGCUUCCAUAUGCCCGCUCCAAUUGACCGCUUGACGUGGUUGAUGACGUGUAGCGCCUGAUGUGGCAUGGUGAAGACAAAAAAAGAAAUCAGCUCUCGCGUGAUCAACUUCUCCUCUGUGCAAGGAACCAAACCCUAGCCCCUCACAUCCACCUGCCCCCUUCCCUCACGGCACCGACCACCAUUCUCGGCCCCAUUUCCAGCGAGUUUUUCAUCUACAUAGAAACUUCACGCGAUGCCCCCCGAUUUGACUCCACAAACUUGACGCCCCCCUAAUUGGGAUUCACCCCCUCGAUUCGAUUCCACUCCACAGUAGUUCAUCCUCACCACCAUUCGAUGCCUCCACGAGUCACUCCACACCAGGCUUCCUCACGAGUCACUCCCUGACGAGUCAUCCCACACCGGGCUCCCAAGGACCCAAGCAAAUUUGCUUUGCUGCUGCCCCUGCUGCUGCUGAUUCGGGUGCUGCCCCUGCUGCUGCUAAUUCGGGUGCUGCCCCUGCUGCUGCUACUAAGGAGGAAGAGAAUUUAAUAGAGCCAGUUGAAGAGUCCGAUGAUGACAUGGGUUUUAGUUUGUUCAAUUAAGUUCAUGUAGGUUAUGUUUUUACUAUGGGACAGUGAUCCUUGCGUUUACUUUCUUUGGAUUUUCACUGGUGGAGUUCCUUGUUGACUCAUUUAAUUAAGUUGUAAAAAAUAGCUGUGUUUUGAACCCUUUCUGUUGACUCGUUUAAUUUAAGUUGUAUUUUUGCUCCUCUA